rnacentral:sRNA from 3 species
GGAAGGAUGAGAAGCUUCGACUAAGGUUCGAUUCGAGCGCAGCGAGAAAGCGUUGCCGCAGGCAACGACCCGAAGGGCGAAGCGCGCAGCGCUGAGUCAUCCUUCCCCCACCACCA